rnacentral:lncRNA from 1 species
UAAAUGACUGAAUAACCAUCUAAAAUGAAUACUUGAUACUAGAACUUUUAUUUUUCUUUCAUUUACAGAAGAGUUUGGGAGGGUAGAUGACCUUGCAACAGACUUGUCAAAAUGGGGAAAAAAUGAAAAAAAGAAAGAAAAUAAUGACAUUGAAACAUCAUUUAAAAAAUUCAAAGAGGACUGAUAUAAGGUCCUUAGUUGUCUCAUCUAUAAAAGAAAGAAGUGGAAAUGAUUUCUGAGAUCUCUUCCAGCUCUUAUACUCAGCAUUCUACUAAGUACAGAAGAUACAAAAAAAGAGAAAAUAUAUAGUCCCUGACCUCAAGGAGUUCACAAUCUAAAAGGAGACACAACAUUCAAACAACAUACACAGAGAAGCCUACAUACAGGAUGAAUUAAAAAAAGUAAUUAAAAGAGAGAAGGCACUAGAGCAAAAAGAGAUUGUGAAAGGCUUCCAAUAAA